GGCGCACGGGNGANNAGCGCGUGGGUAAUCUGCCCCUCGGUCAGGAAUAACCCGCCGAAAGGCGGGCUAAUACCCGAUAACACUGACGCUCUGCGGAGUGUCUUUCAAAGAAGGCCUCUGUUUACAAGCUUUCGCCGGAGGAUGAGCCCGCGUACCAUUAGCUAGUUGGCAGGGUAAUGGCCUACCAAGGCAACGAUGGUUAGCUGGUCUGAGAGGAUGGCCAGCCACACUGGAACUGAGACACGGUCCAGACUCCUACGGGAGGCAGCAGUGAGGAAUCUUGCGCAAUGGGGGAAACCCUGACGCAGCAACGCCGCGCGAGUGAGGAAGGCUUUCGGGUCGUAAAGCUCUGCCAGAUGGGAAGAAAUGGAUGGAAGCCAAUACCUUUCAUUCUUGACGGUACCAUCAGAGGAAGCACCGGCUAACUCCGUGCCAGCAGCCGCGGUAAUACGGGGGGUGCAAGCGUUGUUCGGAAUCAUUGGGCGUAAAGCGCGCGCAGGCGGCUUGGUAAGUCAGAUGUGAAAUCCCUGGGCUUAACCCAGGAAGUGCAUUUGAUACUGCCUCGCUAGAGUAC
rnacentral:rRNA from 1 species